ensembl:lncRNA
UGGAUAUCAAGGUUCAGGAUGAGAGGAUGAAUCAUCUGCAUACUUUAUCCAAAAGGAACUGGGCUUUCUAAGCCCAAAGCUCUCAUGUGAUGUACAUAGUGAAGCUGAAGGCUAGGAUGUCAUGGUGUUAGGGAGGUUGGCUAUGCUCGCAAAGCAGGAAUGCUGAGUCAGUUGAUGGAGGCAGAUUUUGAUGAGUGUUGUGAAUUACUGGUUUGGCGUGGAACAUGAAAUGGCUUUGUACCAAGUCAUUGGCAAGGAGAAAAGAGCUGGCACGGGCGGAGACCCCGCUGGCUUAGAAGAGGACAAAGCUGACUGGAUGGUGGACGAUAGUUGCCCUUGUAUGGAGGUGGCUGUAGAAGGAAGAGAACAGUGCUGGGGAGUUCUGCAAGCUGAUUCGUUACCGGAUCUGCAACGUGCUCAUGUCUCUUCUGAUUUUCUUAUGGCGGCCGUCACCUCCACUAUGGAAAGAAAAAUGAACAAUAAUGUUGUGAUGGGCUGGGCUGCCAUGUUUUACCCUAUUUACAGGUCAUUUUAAGUAUUGCUUCUCCACUUCAGACGGGCUUUCAUGUUUAAUUUCACUCGUGUAGGGCUAUGCGAGGCUUUCCUCUAGGUAGCAAUGAAAAUUAAACACAAUUGAGCUUGAUGUGUACUUAUUGAU